GCAGUGUAGCAUAGUGGGUAAGGAACUGGGCUCGUAACCAGAAGGUCAUAGGUUCGAUUCCUGGGUAGGACACUGCC
rnacentral:tRNA from 1 species